rnacentral:rRNA from 1 species
AGUGAACGUUGGCGGCGUGGAUUAGGCAUGCGAGUCGAGCGAGAGCCGUAGCAAUACGGGGACAGCGGCGAAAGGGACAGUAAUAUGUAGGUACCUACCCUCGGGUCCGGGAUAGCUGCGGGAAACUGCAGGUAAUACCGGAUGACAUCUCCGGAUCAAAGGUGUGAUUCCGCCCGGGGAGGGGCCUGCAUCCUAUUGGCUUGUUGGUGGGGUAACGGCCUACCAAGGCGACGAUGGGUAGCGGGUGUGAGAGCAUGACCCGCGUCAUUGGGACUGAGACACUGCCCAGACACCUACGGGUGGCUGCAGUCGAGAAUCUUCGGCAAUGGGGGCAACCCUGACCGAGCGACGCCGCGUGCGGGAUGAAGGCCUUCGGGUUGUAAACCGCUGUCGUAGAGGAGGAAAUGCAGGGGGGUUCUCCCCUCUGUUUGACCUAUUCAGGAGGAAGGACGGGCUAAGUUCGUGCCAGCCGCCGCUGUAA